rnacentral:rRNA from 1 species
GACGAACGCUGGCGGCGUGCCUAAUACAUGCAAGUCGAACGCAGUGGGGACGGGUGAGUAACACGUGGGUAACCUCCCAUCAGAGGGGAUAACACUUGGAAACAGGUGCUAAACCGAUACUGAUGGAUGGACCCGCGGUGCAUUAGCUCGUUGGUGAGGUAACGGCUCACCAGGGCCACGAUGCAUAGCAGAACUGAGAGGACGAUCAGCCACACUGGGAAUGAGACACGGCCCAGACUCCGGCGGGAGGCAGGAGUAGGGAAUCUUCGGCAAUGGGCGAAAGGCAGAACGAGCCAAGCCGCGUGAGUGAAGAAGGUUUUCGGAUCGUAAAACUCGGUAGUUAGAGAAGCGGUAUCUAACCAGAAAGCCACGGCUAACUACGUGCCAGCAGCCGCGGUAAUAC